UAGCACAGAGAGCUUGCUCUCGGGUGACGAGUGGCGGACGGGUGAGUAAUGUCUGGGAAACUGCCCGAUGGAGGGGGAUAACUACUGGAAACGGUAGCUAAUACCGCAUAACGUCUUCGGACCAAAGUGGGGGACCUUCGGGCCUCACACCAUCGGAUGUGCCCAGAUGGGAUUAGCUAGUAGGUGGGGUAAUGGCUCACCUAGGCGACGAUCCCUAGCUGGUCUGAGAGGAUGACCAGCCACACUGGAACUGAGACACGGUCCAGACUCC
rnacentral:rRNA from 1 species